AACCCGUGCACCCGGGGCAACCCAAUUCAAUUUCGUUGAUUCGAUCGGAGACGAAUCCCUGGUUAUUCUCUAGCCUGGAAUUGGAAAGCGUGCGUGAUUUGCUUCGGCGAUGACCCCCCGAGGCGCGAACUCCCGGCACGCCAUCGACUCCUGCACGUUCCAGCUCCACGCUUGGCAGCCCUUCCAAGUCCAAACCCUAGCUUCUGCUGCCGAUCCUUCCAAGCACCCCUUUCCCGCCAAGAAACCCUGCCGUUCCGACCGAUCCACCACCCCUGCUUCCGCAUCGGGGCCCCCCGCCGCCCUCGAUCUGUCGCGCCUCACUCUGCUCGACGACCCACCGCCGACCAGGCGGGAGGAGGGCUUCCGUUGGUUCCCGCGUAAACGCAGGCGCCGGGGUUCCCUGUCCGUGUCGGGUCGGAGCUCCGACCGCAGCGGGACUCGCCCUCGUGGCGGCGUCUCCGCCGCAUACGCCACUUGCUCCGACUUCCCGUUAGCUGCGGGUGGCACGGAUUCUAGCGGGGAGCUGUUUGUGAUCGGGGACGGCAGUUGGGGAUCCGAUGUCAGCGAGGCAGCCCGGGUGACUAAGAGGGAGGUCACCUCCGGAGGGGGAGGAGGGUCGGAAAGGGAGAGUUCAGGGACCAUUGGAUUCCAAGGUGUUGGAAAUGCAACGCUAGUAGAAUCACAAUGCAAUGAAUCUGGUUACGGAAGCGAGCCUGGGUACAGGGGCGACGGUGAGCUUGGAUACGAUGACGAGCUUGAGGAGGAUGAAGACGACUGCAGGCAUCUCUUCUGGGGUGAAGAAAUUGGAGGCCGGCAACAUGGACAACAUUUGUAGUAACUUUAUCAGCUCCUCGAUUCUGAUUUUUCUAAUUUGCCAUUCCUCAAGUAUGGAGAGAUUCUGCUUAGAGCCUGCAUCCGUGAUUGUUGCACAGGUCCAAGUUCAUCCUUCCAAGAUACUGAUCAGAUGGACAUCGUUGGUGAGAACAAUUUUGCAGAGCAGAAGGCUCAUCAUCGGGGCAGGCGCAAAAAACAUGAUUGGAGGAUCAACCCCUCUUUGUUAUGACAAUCAAUCAAGAUAAUGUUUCACUAUUCGCUGGUUGACUGAUCAGAAGUAAUGGUUAAAGCUCUUAAGUGAAUUUAUCGCUUAUGUUGUUUAUUGCCCUGUAGACAUAGAGAUGUGGUGGCCGUACUUUGUGAUUCGUAUGAACUUAAACUGUAGAUGCAUCAAAUGUUUUUGGCUUGCUCAAAGAAAGUUAAAAACUUUGAUGUAAUAAGUGGGCUCUACCUUCUCUUAAACACUUCUCGGAUAUUCACUAGAUUUUGCAUGUCUAAGAUUGAAAUAUAACAAAUGCUAAAUGCAUUUCUUUGUUAA